UCUUUGAAAACAAAGGACAAACAACAAGGUCAGAAUUGAACUCCUGACUCAAUGUCCAGCACUAUCCAUUGUGCCACCCAGCUGUCUCCCAUGACUAUGCUGAACAAUUCCAGAACAUGGAGGCAGAUUAGAGAUCAUCUCUGGUCUCUGAGGCCUCAAGUCUGAGGGCCUCAAGACUCUUCCCAUUCCAAACCAUCCACUAUUAUAUAGUACUGUAGAAAGAAUUCUGGCUCCAGAGUCUGAGGACCUGAGUGUUAAUCCUGCCUCUGAGGCUUCUUACUUCCGUGUCAUUGAACAAGUCUCAAUGUCUGCAUCUGUAAAAUGAGGAGGAUGGACUAGAUACUAGUUACUGAAGUAACUUUCAGCUCCAGAAUUCUGAUUUUACGAGAUUAAAUCAAAGUACCCAUCUGUCAAAGUGAUUUUGCUGAAAUGCAGAGGAUGAAGAUCAGCGUUCAUUCACAAGAUCUGCAUCAUGAACUGAAUAGAUGGGAAAGGAAGAGUUUUCCUCUCUUUAAUUCCGGCUAUGAGAAAUAGACCUAGAGGAGUUUGUUCCUGUUCUGCAUUAUCUGUCCUCAGUUCCAAGUGCCAAUGGUGAUCCCCACCUAACCAAGGGUUCGAGUCAUGGUGACCCUGGAACCAGGAUUCCAGGAGGAAGAAAAUAUUAGAGGGAGAGAGAGAGAGGGAGAGAAGGAAAGAAGGAGAGAAGGAAAGAGGGAGAGAAGGAAAGGCCAGUAUUCUUCGCUGCUACCUCUGGCAUUAUUGCUGCCAAUCUAGCCUCCUGGGUUGUCGCAGUCAUCCACUCCCGAUCUUCCUGACCCCACUCACUCCUGCUCCUGCUCCUGCUGCUGUUGAUGUUCCUGUUGCUGAUGCUUUUUGCUGCUACCUUGUCUUUAGAACACACAAGAUGGGUGUCCCUGGAACUGCUUUCCAGGGCAGCUGGUAAAAGCCUUGGUGUGUUUCCGUUAGGCAGUAAUUAGCCUCCUAACUCCCUGUCCAUGUGGUAGGGGAAGCAAGCUGCUACCUAGUGUUUUACCCCAAGAGUGAAAGGAAAGGAAGGUUACUCUUCCAAGCAGGAAAUAAAAUUGCAAGCAUGGCUCA
rnacentral:lncRNA from 1 species